GAAUAGCACACCGUUGUGUUUCUUCUAAUGAGAAGUUUUAUUUUUUAUUUAAGAGGCUGUAACUCAGCACCUACCAAAACACCUGUGGUAAAGCACCAGCUUCUUUUACUUUAACUUUACAGCUAACUGAUGUCUUAGUCUAUACCAGGCCCACUGAUCAGGCACUUGGAGGCUGUGGCAGGGUCUAGCUGCCAUAAAAGUACCCAAAAUGAUUACUCCCAUGAUCUGGACUUACCAUGUCACAAACUGGUAGCAAGCAGUCUGAAGACCGCACUUUGAAGAGUGUUCUUCAAACGGAUUAAUAAGCAAAUUGUCAGGGGUUAUCUCAGUAUCUGUGAUAACUGUGUGUUAUUUCCGUAAAGAAAGAAUUAAUGACCAUGUACUGGAUCAAAUGGCAUUCUACUGCAGAACUGAGCACUGCCAUUCAAUUAUUACAUCAGUGCCUAUAUUGUGUUCACCAUCUAAGGAACCUUCAUGUGUGCAGGCUAGCAGGAAAAGCAGAGAGGAUCUCCCAGGAAAAUACUCUAUUUGUGCUACAUCCUCCAAAAGAGGAGUGAAGACAGUGUCACUGCUGUGUCAUUAUCAGGAAAGAUAAAGGAGCUGGGGCAUGAAGAGGUAUAUGACUUGGCCAAAGGCAAAAAAACCUAGGCAGCCUGAACUGAGCCCAGCAGGACUCCCCAUCACCUGUAGUAGCUGAGAACAUCGCGGUCCUCCUUCUGCCCUUCUUUGGCAUCUUGGGCCAGUUCCCGGACACUUUUGCUGCGAAUCUCCUUGUUGCUGUCCCUCCAAAAGAGCCACACCUCUUCCUCGUCUUCUCCUGCUUCCAGAGCAUUCUCUCCAGUAGAAACACCCUCAAAUUCAAAACGAGAAAGAACCAGCCUGGAAAAUAAGAGGAGGAGUAGUGAAAACUCCUUAUGUUAGCAAUACUUGCUAAUCUAAGAUCAACUCUAGCAAUA